AAGAACCAAUGCAAGCAAGCUCUCACGGCAAACCUUCCGUAGUACCGUUAGGAUAUGUCAAUGGCUAUAGGUCAUAACUAAGUAGCUACCGACCGUUCCGGCGCGCCCUUGACCUAUCUUGAUUAAGACCGAAAACCUAUCUAAAGUGGGGCCUAGUUUAAGCUGUCAAACAAAUGAUAGAAUGGAAAAUAAAGAAUAACCACUAGUAGGGAUAUGGGUGGAGUCUCGCUCAGUAAAGAGAGUU
rnacentral:lncRNA from 1 species